rnacentral:rRNA from 1 species
CCUACGGGCGGCAGCAGUGGGGAAUAUUGGACAAUGGGCGAAAGCCUGAUCCAGCCAUGCCGCGUGUGUGAAGAAGGCCUUCGGGUUGUAAAGCACUUUCAGUGGGGAAGAAAGCCUUGGGGCUAAUACCCUCGAGGAAGGACAUCACCCACGGAAGAAGCACCGGCUAACUCCGUGCCAGCAGCCGCGGUAAUACGGAGGGUGCGAGCGUUAAUCGGAAUUACUGGGCGUAAAGCGCGCGUAGGCGGUCUGAUAAGCCGGUUGUGAAAGCCCCGGGCUCAACCUGGGAACGGCAUCCGGAACUGUCAGGCUAGAGUGCAGGAGAGGAAGGUAGAAUUCCCGGUGUAGCGGUGAAAUGCGUAGAGAUCGGGAGGAAUACCAGUGGCGAAGGCGGCCUUCUGGACUGACACUGACGCUGAGGUGCGAAAGCGUGGGUAGCAAACAGGAUUAGAUACCCUAGUAGUC